CAACUGGUCAACCCAUAUUGGCAGUUACACCUGAUAUCAGUUCUGAUUGGCUCAGUCUCCACCCUCAUUGGUUAGUGCCUGCCAUGGCAGUUGGUAACUGUUUUGCAUAUCAUCCCUGCCCAUUAGAGUGAACAAUAUUAGCAAAGGCACUGAGAAGGAAUAAUCUUGGCCUGUUUAUCGAACGGGUUCCCCAAGAGUGCUUGGUCCUUCACUUGCUUACCCAAAGUCAACACUAGGUUCAGGCAUUUUCUAAAGCACUUUCCUAUCUUAGAAUUUCAAUUCCUGAACUUAUUAGACAAUUGUUCAUCAUCUGCUUCAAGUGCCAAGAAGUUGUUGCCUCAGGGUGGCCUCCCUCUACGAGUCUCAUUAU
rnacentral:lncRNA from 1 species